UUUUUAAACCCUCAUCCUAGUUUAGUCCGUGGGCAGGACUCGCAUAAUAAUAUUUCCAGUCCCAGCAGCUCACAUCACAGACACGAACCCAGGACCGCCCCCCCUCAGUUUUUUCUUCCCAAUCUCCCAAAUCGCUUUAUUAUUAUUUUUUAAAUGAUCGCGCUUUUUGCCCGCUGCUCCCGCUGCUGCCGAAAUCCCCGGCUUCCCAGGGUGCAUGCUUCUGGCAAGACCGUGCAGUGUUCUCAGUCCACUUUCAGUGUGUCUUAUCUUAAUUUGUCCUGAUCCGAUCUAAGCGCGAUAGCCACCACUUGCUUUCAAUUUGUAGGAUUUUUUCCCCUUCUCGGUUCGCUCCGACUACCCUCGCAGUGUUUCCCUCUCUGCUCGCAUUUCCAGGGUUGCGAUCUACUACUCUGCCUUUAUUUCUUCUUCUCCUUUUUUUUUUUUAAAAAAAAAAAAAAAAAAAUCCUCCCCUCUCUUGAAUUGCUUCAUGUUACUAACCAUUCCUAAAUUGUAGGAGAGCUCCAUUCCCCCUCCUCUCCCACCACCACCAGCACCACUACCACCAUCACCUCCUCCUCCUCCUCCUCCCCUUCUCUUCUCCUUUUUGGCAGCACCAGGACGUCCGGUGUGGUGGUGGCAGCGAGCAGCAAAAGCAGCAAGAGCUCCUUUUGAUUCCCCCCCGUUCCAAGGUGCUUUGGAGAGACCCGGUUCAAAGCUGAGCGGCAGAAGUCACGAUGAGUGCACAAGGUGAGGGACCCGGUCAGCCUUCCACUGCUGCCCAGGAGCAACCUGCAACCGCAGAGCCUCAGAAGAGAGGACGAGGCAGACCCAGGAAGCAACCACAAGAACCAACUGGUGAACCAUCUCCUAAAAGACCAAGAGGAAGACCCAAAGGAAGCAAAAACAAGAGUCCCUCUAAAGCAGCCCAGAAGAAAGCAGAAGCCACUGGUGAAAAGCGACCCAGAGGGCGGCCCAGAAAAUGGAACGAGCCUCGGGGAAAGCCAGAGGUCCUGCGGAGAGACUGCAGCUGAGCCGGUGAUGCUUCGCUGGGGAGGAUGGAGACUUCACGUGCAGAGACCCCAGGCCGUCACUAUUGACAGCACAGGUGUUUCCAAACCUCAACAAGUGGUUCAAAAGAAGCCUGCUCAGGAAGAGACUGAAGAAACGUCCUCACAAGAAUCUGCAGAGGAAGACUAGGAGACCGCACCAUGCAAUUUCUACCUCAUCAGCAGUUGGGUCUUUUGAAGGGAGAAGACACUGCCUUGACCACUUAUUUUCUAUUGCCAUGGUCUUUCCACUUUUGCCUGGGGGAAAAAAAAUCGCAUAACCUUAAAAAGGAUUUGACUAAUCAUCUUCUUUGUAAUCCCUUCACAGUCCCAGGUUUAGUGAAAAACUGCUGUAACACAACGGGGACACAGAUUAACGAUGCAACUUUUAAUUACUGUUUUCUUUUUUCUUAACCUACUAAUAGUUUGUUUGAGCUGCUAAGUAAGGGUGACUGGGUCAAGAAGAGCUCCAGAUCAGGUUUAAGUCAUUCACUGCACUGCAUAUAAACAAGAAACUUGUAACAUAUUAAUUAUAAUGGGCAUUGAAAUAGGAAAGGCCUGGUGUGUAACACUAGGCCUUGCAACACUUCCAGCAACCCACUCCCUACUUAGUGUACUCCCUGUUUUAGAACACCAAAGAUAAGGGAUAGAUACUACUUUUUUUUUUUUUUUUUUUUUGGUAACCUUCUUGUAGACUUGUACUUGAUUUUUUUAUUUUUUUUUAAGACUUACUGUUAUUUCAGGAAAAAAAUGAAAGCUGAUCUCUCACUUCAUUCAGCUGGUAAUCAGAAGAAAGAAAACAACACGAAAAAGGUACUUUCAUUUUGCAAAAGGGAAGAAAGACAAAGAUACGUUGUAUAGUUACAGAUACAAACAUAUCAGCAGAAGUAGUAAUAAACAAAACGAACAGCCCUCACCUUCUGGACAAUAGGAAGUCCGACAGAGUCGGCUUUCUGUAGAGCCAGGCGUUUUCUGUGGAAACAGAAAUGACUGGCACCAAACACUUAAGCCAUUAAUGACUAAGUCUUUAUCAAGAAAAGUGUUUUAAAACGUAUAGAAAGGUACCUCGAAAUUAAUACUGAAUUUGUCUGAACAAAAUAAUCCAGAUGUUUUAGUAGUUUCAACUAAUUCCACUCACCCCAUACCAGGUUUCAAACAAAACGAAUCUCUUCUCAUUACUCAUCAGUCAUGAUGUAAGAACCAACACCAUGUACCUCAGCUAAGCUUGUGUAUUACUUUAAGCAAUGUAUUUUGACAUAGGAUGGUUCACUGUGCACCUCUGUGCCGGUGGCGUUUCUCCAUCUUUUCAUUCAAAGCAGCACUUUUAGCAACAGAUGCAAUAUUACCCCACUAUUCAAUACUACCUCUGAUUUUUACAAUUAACUCAACAGACUGAUAAAUACAUGCUGCUAUACACAUUCAAUGCAGGAAAUUUUUACUGGGUAGAUAAUCACGAGUAUCUGCAUUUUGCCCUUAUUUCUACUUCAACACUUAAUUGCAGUUAAGGAAGCAAUAUCUUUAUUGUGUUUCGGCAUGACUAUGUAUUUUUCUUUCUCCUUUUUUUUUUUAAUGUACUUACCCUAUUCUCUGCUAGACUUCUGUGUAAUGUACUGUUAACUUGAAUAUAUUUUUGUACUGAAUUGCUGAUAGGUUUGUAAGGAUAAUUUUCUUCAAUGACACUACAUGACAUAGAAAAAAAAUUUAGCUGUAAUGUUUAAAUAUUACUGUCCAAGUUUGUACCUCAAGUGAAUUGUUUAAAGAAAUGGACUAAUUGAUUGACAAAGACCUACCUCCAGACUUUAAAUGGAAUGAACUUGUUACUUUCAGCAUUAGUUUUGAGACGUUUGAAACAGUUAGGACUGCAACUAAUCCCUAAUUCAAAACUAUUUUUGUAAAAUAACUUGUGGAAAAUGAACACGUUUUAAAUUACUUUCGUAUUAAAAAAAAAAAAAAAUGAACAAAAAAAAACCUUCAAAGAAACUUGAAGCUUUGUAGGUGGGAAGCAACAAGCUCAGCUUUUGCAUAAUGCAAUCACGAAUAUGUGUUUAAAAAAAAAAAUUAGUAGAUUGUAAGAAAAUACUUGACAAGUAUUUUCAUGUAUUUUACACAAAUGUGAUUUUGUAAUAUGUUUCAGCCAGAUUUAUUUUAAAUGCUUCUUAUGUAGAGGUUUUUUAUUCUCCUCUCUCUCACUCUUUUUUUUCCCCUUUUUUUUCCUCUUUCUCUCUUCCUAUUUCAUUUUCUCUCUUUCUGUUUAAUUUCCCUUCUUCCUCUCCUAGUCAGUACUUUGUAACAUUGUAUUAAUAACUGGGCCAGGGGUAGGUUCUCAGGAAGGCGUCUGUUGGUAUGGCUUUAUUAGCAAGCCAAACGCAGUUAAAGGUAACUACUUGCUGGCUUCUUCCAAGAGGCAGUGUCAAGAACUGCGGACCUCCUCAAAAGACUGCAGAGGGUUCAUUGUCGGAGAUCGCUGAGAAAGAGCUGAUCGGAGUGUUAAAACGAGACACGUUGAUAUUAAGUGAAUGGGAAAUAAUCCCAGCUAUGCAGUAGCUCUAGCAGGCCAAAUCCAGCGUCACUUGAAGUCAGUAGAAGGAAUUCUGCUGACUUCAAAGGGCAUCGAAUCGAGCCUUAGCAAAUCCCUUCUUAUUUUUUGCCUUUUUUUGAAACCACAGUAUUCAGCGGCUGACACAGAAAUAAUCACUCUGUGUGUGUCACACUUCAACCUCCGAGAGACUUACCACUCUGAUGAACUGAAUCUUGUAUUUUCUAUAUAUUGUAGUACAAUCAAAACACAUUACUACCUCUUAGGGCCUACUAUACCUCAUUUUUUCAGACUGAAAAAUUGCAUGUGGCCAUUGAAUCAGUGAGAACAUCAUAAAAUUUUUUAUAUAUAUAGUUUAUUUUUGUGGGAGAUAAAUUUUAUACGACUGUUCUUUGCUGUCAGUGGUCACUGCUAACUAAGACUGGACAUUUAACUCUUCUACCAUUUCUGCAAGAGAGGUGUGUUUGCAGGAAAAAGAAAAAAACGCUUCAAGAUGUUUAACUACAGUUUACUUUUUCUUUUGAGUGUCUUCUAACUUUUCGCUUUGUUCUUUGUGUAGAGUUGCUGUCUACGAUUGUACUUUGAAUCGCUUGCUUGUUGAAAAUGUUCCUUUAAUGGAUUAUCACAGUCUGUUCAGCACAAUAAACAUCAUAGCCUCUGUGA